UACGGGGGGGGCAAGCGUUGUUCGGAAUUACUGGGCGUAAAGGGCUCGUAGGCGGCCAACUAAGUCAGACGUGAAAUCCCUCAGCUUAACCGGGGAACUGCGUCUGAUACUGGAUGGCUAGAGUUUGGGAGAGGGAUGCGGAAUUCCAGGUGUAGCGGUGAAAUGCGUAGAUAUCUGGAGGAACACCGGUGGCGAAGGCGGCAUCCUGGACCAACACUGACGCUGAGGAGCGAAAGCCAGGGGAGCAAACGGG
rnacentral:rRNA from 1 species